AGUGAACGCUGGCGGUAGGCCUAACACAUGCAAGUCGAACGGCAGCACAGGAGGGCUUGCUCUCUAGUUGGCGAGUGGCGGACGGGUGAGGAAUACAUCUGAAUCUGCUCAGUCGUGGGGGAUAACUUAGGGAAACUUACGCUAAUACCGCAUACGACCUUCGGGUGAAAGAGGGGGAUCGCAAGACCUCUCGCGAUUGGAUGAGCCGAUGUCGGAUUAGCUAGUUAGCGGGGUAAUGGCCCACCAAGGCGACGAUCCGUAGCUGGUCUGAGAGGAUGAUCAGCCACACUGGAACUGAGACACGGUCCAGACUCCUACGGGAGGCAGCAGUGGGGAAUAUUGGACAAUGGGCGCAAGCCUGAUCCAGCCAUACCGCGUGGGUGAAGAAGGCCUUCGGGUUGUAAAGCCCUUUUGUUGGGAAAGAAAUCUUUCAGGCUAAUACCCUGGGAGGAUGACGGUACCCAAAGAAUAAGCACCGGCUAACUUCGUG
rnacentral:rRNA from 1 species